AGUUGGCAUCAUUCUAAUGGGUUCUGAUGUUGCCCAGAAUAAUUUUAAUAACAUUGAAGAGUUCCAGCCAGUUCAAACAGUAUCAGUUGAUACAAUAAAAAAUAUAAAUAAAACCCAAAAGUUGGAUUAAGGCACUUCAUACUGCUGUUGAAGUUGCAAAGAGUAAAUGUAUAGGGUCAUUAAGGAACAACAUUAAUCAUGCUGAAUGAUUAUUCAUCUUCUGAUGAAUUAAAUGCAGCUGAUAUGCAAAAAUUUCAAACAGUAUUAUCAGGGAAACACUUCCUUUACUUGGCAUUGGAACAAAAUCCCUGACAACAAUUGACACUACUGACCUAAACAAGAGUGAAAAAAUGAUUCUGGAUUUAGUUAAUUGUUAGUUUGUCAAGAUGAAUACAGUACCAUCCUGUCAAAAAUACAAAAUCACAAAGCACCAAAACAUUUACUGCACCUGAAGCUGGAUAUGGAAAAUACAAAAGA